ACCGCUGUAGUGCAGAGGUCAAUGGCGCUACAGUAAACCGCUGUACUGCAGAGGUCAGUGGCGCUACAGUAAACCGCUGUCCUGCAGAGGUCAGAGGCGCUACAGUAAACCGCUGUCCUGCAGAGGUCAGAGGCGCUAGAGUAAACCGCUGUCCUGCAGAGGUCAGUGGCGCUAGAGUAAACCGCUGUCCUGCAGAGGUCAGAGGCACUAGAGUAAACCGCUGUCCUGCAGAGGUCAGUGGCGCAACAGUAAACCGCUGUCCUGCAGAGGUCAGAGGCGCUACAGUAAACCGCUGUCCUGCAGAGGUCAGUGGCGCUACAGUAAACCGCUGUCCUGCAGAGGUCAGAGGCGCUACAGUAAACCGCUGUCCUGCAGAGGUCAGUGGUGCUACAGUAAACCGCUGUCCUGCAGAGGUCAGAGGCGCUACAGUAAACCGCUGUCCUGCAGAGGUCAGUGGCGCUACAGUAAACCGCUGUCCUGCAGAGGUCAGAGGCGCUACAGUA